rnacentral:rRNA from 1 species
UGAGUAACGGCGAGCGACAGGGAUGAGUCCAGCGCCGAAUCCCGCUCUUGAAAAGGGGCCGGGAAAUGUGGCGUUUGGGAGUGAGCGUAUCGGAGUUCGACCGGGCAGCAAGUCCCCCUGACCGGGGCUCUUUCCCAAAGUGGGUGCGAGGCCCAUAGUUGCUAGGUCGGCUUCGGUUGCGAUCUCCUUGGAGUCGGGUUGCUUGGAAGUGCAGCCCUAAGCGGGAGGUAAACUCCUCCUAAGACUAAAUACUGCCGUGAGACCGAUAGCAAACAAGUACCGUGAGGGAAAGUUGCAAAGAACUUUGAAGAGAGAGUUCAAGAGUACGUGAAACUGCUCAGAGGAAAACGGAUGGGCCCUCGAAGUCCUGUGGUGGGAGGAUUCAGUCGGGAAGUCUCCGACAUCGGUCUAGCUAUCACAGAAUGGAUCCCGUGACGGGCCGCUAGAUCGAGUCAAAAGGGGAACGCUCGACGCAUUUCUUUCCCACCCGAAGGACGCCGCAACCGGUUGGCGUGACGGCCGUGAGGACGGGAGCCGGCAGGUGGCCGGUGGUUUCUCCUUCGGGGGUGCCGCCGGUCGUUAGCCUUUCCGUCCGGGACGAAACCCGACCGGGGUUACAUGGGCCCUCAUGGGCUCCCAUCGCCUCCUCCAUGUGUCGCGAGCAGUCCCGGCAGGUGUGGCUCUGAAGCAGCGGGCGCAUGGACUCCCUCCAUGGCAACGCAGCGCAGAGUCCCCGAUUGAUGGCUGGUCUGGGCU